UACGUAGGGGGCUAGCGUUGUCCGGAAUCAUUGGGCGUAAAGAGCGCGUAGGCGGCCCGGUAAGUCUGCUGUAAAAGUCAAAGGCUUAACCUUUGAAAGUCAGUGGAUACUGCCGGGCUAGAGUCCGGAAGAGGCGAGUGGAACUCCUGGUGUAGCGGUGGAAUGCGCAGAUAUCAGGAAGAACACCCGUGGCGAAGGCGGCUCUCUGGGACGGUACUGACGCUGAGACGCGAAAGCGUGGGGAGCGAACAGG
rnacentral:rRNA from 1 species